rnacentral:rRNA from 1 species
UGGGGAAUAUUGGACAAUGGGCGAAAGCCUGAUCCAGCCAUGCCGCGUGUGUGAAGAAGGUCUUCGGAUUGUAAAGCACUUUAAGUUGGGAGGAAGGGCAGUAAGCGAAUACCUUGCUGUUUUGACGUUACCGACAGAAUAAGCACCGGCUAACUCUGUGCCAGCAGCCGCGGUAAUACAGAGGGUGCAAGCGUUAAUCGGAAUUACUGGGCGUAAAGCGCGCGUAGGUGGUUCGUUAAGUUGAAUGUGAAAGCCCCGGGCUCAACCUGGGAACUGCAUCCAAAACUGGCGAGCUAGAGUAGGGCAGAGGGUGGUGGAAUUUCCUGUGUAGCGGUGAAAUGCGUAGAUAUAGGAAGGAACACCAGUGGCGAAGGCGAACACCUGGGCUCAUACUGACACUGAGGUGCGAAAGCGUGGGGAGCAAACAGG